rnacentral:rRNA from 1 species
GUAAGGAAGACAGACCCAGGGAACUGAAACAUCUAAGUACCUGGAGGAAGAGAAAGCAAAUGCGAUUUCCUGAGUAGCGGCGAGCGAAACGGAACAUAGCCCAAACCAAGAGGCUUGUCUCUUGGGGUUGUAGGACAUUCUAUACGGAGUUACAAAGGAACGAGGUAGACGAAGCGACCUGGAAAGGUCCGUCGUAGAGGGUAACAACCCCGUAGUCGAAACUUCGUUCUCUCUUGAAUGUAUCC